UACGUAGGGUGCAAGCGUUGUCCGGAAUUACUGGGCGUAAAGGGCGCGUAGGCUGUGCUGUAAGUCAGGCGUGAAAGGCCCGGGCUCAACCUGGGAAUGGCGCAUGAUACUGCGGCGCUGGAAGGCGGGAGAGGAUGGCGGAAUUCCCAGUGUAGAGGUGAAAUUCGUAGAUAUUCGCAAGAACACCAGUGGCGAAGGCGGCUCACUGGCCCGGUACUGACGCUGAGGUGCGAAAGCGUGGGGAGCAAACAGG
rnacentral:rRNA from 1 species